rnacentral:rRNA from 1 species
CAGCCCCUCGAGUGGUGGGGAUGAUUAUUUGGCCUAAAGCGUCCGUAGCCGGCCGAGCAAGUCUUCCGUUAAAUCCAGCGUCUCAAGCGUUGGACUGCGGGAGAUACUACACGGCUAGAGAGUGGGAGAGGUCAGCGGUAUUCUGGGGGUAGGGGCGAAAUCCUUUGAUCCCCGGAGGACCACCAGUGGCGAAGGCUGCUGACUAGAACACGUCUGACGGUCAGGGACGAAAGCUGGGGUAGCGAACCGGAUUAGAGACCCGAGUAGUCC